rnacentral:rRNA from 1 species
AGUUUGAUCCUGGCUCAGGAUGAACGCUAGCGGGAGGCCUAACACAUGCAAGCCGAGCGGUAGAGAUUCUUCGGAAUCUUGAGAGCGGCGUACGGGUGCGGAACACGUGUGCAACCUACCUUUAUCUGGAGGAUAGCCUUUCGAAAGGAAGAUUAAUACUCCAUAAUAUAUUGAUUGGCAUCAAUUGAUAAUUGAAAGCUCCGGCGGAUAGAGAUGGGCACGCGCAAGAUUAGUUAGUUGGUGAGGUAACGGCUCACCAAGACGAUGAUCUUUAGGGGGCCUGAGAGGGUGAUCCCCCACACUGGUACUGAGACACGGACCAGACUCCUACGGGAGGCAGCAGUGAGGAAUAUUGGUCAAUGGGUGCAAGCCUGAACCAGCCAUCCCGCGUGAAGGACGACUGCCCUAUGGGUUGUAAACUUCUUUUGUAUAGGGAUAAACCUACCCUCGUGAGGGUAGCUGAAGGUACUAUACGAAUAAGCACCGGCUAACUCCGUG